GCCCCCAUAGCUCAGGGGAUAGAGCAUCGGUUUCCUAAACCGUGUGCGCGUGUUCGAAUCACGCUGGGGGCG
rnacentral:tRNA from 1 species